rnacentral:tRNA from 1 species
CGCAGUGUAGCAUAGUGGUAAGGCACAGGGCUCGUAACCAAAAGGUUGCUGGUUCAAUUCCUCACUGGGG